rnacentral:rRNA from 1 species
AUACGUAGGUGGCAAGCGUUGUCCGGAUUUACUGGGUGUAAAGGGAGCGUAGACGGAAGGCCAAGUCUGAUGUGAAAGCCCGCGGCUCAACUGCGGGACUGCAUUGGAAACUGGUCAUCUGGAGUGCAGGAGGGGUAAGCGGAAUUCCUAGUGUAGCGGUGAAAUGCGUAGAUAUUAGGAAGAAUACCAGUGGCGAAGGCGGUUUUCUGGCUGCAUACUGACGCUGAAGCGCGAAAGCCGGGGGAGAAAACGGGAUUAGAUUCCCCGGUAGUCCUGGCAGUAAACGAUGUAUGCUGGGUGUGAGGCUAGCGAUAGUUUCGUGCCGAAGUUAACGCGAUAAGCGUACCGCCUGGGGAGUACGGUCGCAAGAUUGAAACUCAAAGGAAUUGACGGG